GACGAACGCUGGCGGCGUGCCUAAUACAUGCAAGUUGAGCGCUGAAGGUUGGUACUUGUACCGACUGGUUGAGCAGCGAACGGGUGAGUAACGCGUGGGGAAUCUGCCUUUGAGCGGGGGACAACCUUUGGAAACGAAUGCUAAUACCGCAUAAAAACUUUAAACACAAGUUUUAAGUUUGAAAGAUGCAAUUGCAUCACUCAAAGAUGAUCCCGCGUUGUAUUAGCUAGUUGGUGAGGUAAAGGCUCACCACGGCGAUGAUACAUAGCCGACCUGAGAGGGUGAUCGGCCACAUUGGGAAUGUGACACGGCCCAAACUCCUACGCGAGGCAGCAGUAGGGAAUCUUCGGCACUGGACGAAAGUCUGAGCGAGCAACGCCGCGUGAGUGAAGAGGGUUUUCGGAUCGUAAAAAUCUGUUGGUAGAGAAGAAAGUUGGUGAGAGUGGAAAGCUCAUCAAGUGACGGUAACUACCCAGAAAGGGACGGCUAACUACGUG
rnacentral:rRNA from 1 species